GAUGAACGCUGGCGGCGUGCCUAAUACAUGCAAGUCGAGCGAAUGGAUUAAGAGCUUGCUCUUAUGAAGUUAGCGGCGGACGGGUGAGUAACACGUGGGUAACCUGCCCAUAAGACUGGGAUAACUCCGGGAAACCGGGGCUCAUACCGGAUAACAUUUUGAACCGCAUGGUUCGAAAUUGAAAGGCGGCUUCGGCUGUCACUUAUGGAUGGACCCGCGUCGCAUUAGCUAGUUGGUGAGGUAACGGCUCACCAAGGCAACGAGGCGUAGCCGACCUGAGAGGGUGAUCGGCCACACUGGGACUGGGACACGGCCCAGACUCCUACGGGAGGCAGCAGUAGGGAAUCUUCCGCAAUGGACGAAAGUCUGACGGAGCAACGCCGCGUGAGUGGUGAAGGCUUUCGGGUCGUAAAACUCUGUUGUUAGGGAAGAACAAGUGCUAGUUGAAUAAGCUGGCACCUUGACGGUACCUAACCGGAAAGCCACGGCUAACUACGUGCCAGCCGCCGCGGUAA
rnacentral:rRNA from 1 species